CCUACGGGAGGCAGCAGUGGGGAAUAUUGCACAAUGGGGGAAACCCUGAUGCAGCGACGCCGCGUGAGUGAAGAAGUAUUUCGGUACGUAAAGCUCUAUCAGCAGGGAAGAAAAUGACGGUACCUGACUAAGAAGCCCCGGCUAACUACGUGCCAGCAGCCGCGGUAAUACGUAGGGGGCAAGCGUUAUCCGGAUUUACUGGGUGUAAAGGGAGCGUAGACGGCAGCGCAAGUCUGGAGUGAAAUCCCAUGGCUUAACCAUGGAACUGCUUUGGAAACCGUGCAGCUAGAGUGCAGGAGAGGUAAGCGGAAUUCCUAGUGUAGCGGUGAAAUGCGUAGAUAUUAGGAGGAACACCAGUGGCGAAGGCGGCUUACUGGACUGUAACUGACGUUGAGGCUCGAAAGCGUGGGGAGCAAACAGGAUUAGAUACCCCUGUAGUC
rnacentral:rRNA from 1 species